rnacentral:rRNA from 1 species
AUUGAACGCUGGCGGCAGGCCUAACACAUGCAAGUCGAGCGAGCGGCGGACGGGUGAGUCAUGUCUGGGAAACUGCCUGAUGGAGGGGGAUAACUACUGGAAACGGUAGCUAAUACCGCAUACCAUCAGAUGUGCCCCGAUGGGAUUAGCUAGUAGGUGGGGUAAUGGCUCACCUAGGCGACCAUCCCUAGCUGGUCUGAGAGGAUGACCAGCCAAACUGGAACUGAGAAACGGUCCAGAAUCCUAAGGGAGGCAGCAGUGGGGAAUAUUGCACAAUGGGCGAAAGCCUGAUGCAGCCAUGCCGCGUGUAUGAAGAAGGCCUUCGGGUUGUAAAGUACUUUCAGCGAGGAGGCGUUACUCGCAGAAGAAGCACCGGCUAACUCCGUGCCAGCAGCCGCGGUAAUUC